rnacentral:rRNA from 1 species
UACGAAGGGGGCUAGCGUUGUUCGGAUUCACUGGGUUUAAAGGGAGCGUAGGUGGGUUGGUAAGUCAGUGGUGAAAUCUCCGGGCUUAACUCGGAAACUGCCAUUGAUACUAUCAGUCUUGAAUAUUGUGGAGGUUAGCGGAAUAUGUCAUGUAGCGGUGAAAUGCUUAGAUAUGACAUAGAACACCAAUUGCGAAGGCAGCUGGCUACACAUAUAUUGACACUGAGGCUCGAAAGCGUGGGGAUCAAAC